UGCCCAAGAGAUCGGGAUAACACCUGGAAACAGAUGCUAAUACCGGAUAACAACAGAUGAUGCCUAUCAACUGUUUAAAAGAUGGUUCUGCUAUCACUCUUGGAUGGACCUGCGGUGCAUUAGCUAGUUGGUAGGGUAAGGGCCUGCCAAGGCGAUGAUGCAUAGCCGAGUUGAGAGACUGAUCGGCCACAUUGGGACUGAGACACGGCCCAAACUCCUACGGGAGGCAGCAGCC
rnacentral:rRNA from 1 species